CUACGGGGGGCAGCAGUGAGGAAUAUUGCACAAUGGGGGGAACCCUGAUGCAGCAACGCCGCGUGGAGGAUGACGCAUUUCGGUGUGUAAACUCCUUUUAUAUGUCAAGAAAAUGACGGUAGCAUAUGAAUAAGCACCGGCUAACUCCGUGCCAGCAGCCGCGGUAAUACGGAGGGUGCAAGCGUUACUCGGAAUCACUGGGCGUAAAAGACGCGUAGGCGGGUUGGAAAGUCAGGUGUGAAAUCCUACAGCUUAACUGUAGAACUGCACUUGAAACUUCUAAUCUAGAGUAUGGGAGGGGGAGAUGGAAUUCGUGGUGUAGGGGUAAAAUCCGUAGAUAUCACUAGGAAUACCUAAAGCGAAGGCGAUCUCCUGGAACAUUACUGACGCUAAGGCGUGAAAGCGUGGGGAGCAAACAGGAUUAGAUACCCCAGUAGUC
rnacentral:rRNA from 1 species